rnacentral:rRNA from 1 species
UUCACAUGACUCCCGGCAACGGAUAUCUUGGCUCUUGCAUCGAUGAAGAACGUAGCAAAAUGCGAUACCUGGUGUGAAUUGCAGAAUCCCGUGAACCAUCGAGUUUUUGAACGCAAGUUGCGCCCAAGGCCUUUUGGCCGAGGGCACGUCUGCCUGGGUGUCAC